rnacentral:rRNA from 1 species
GACGAACGCUGGCGGCGUGCUUAACACAUGCGAGUCGAACGGAAAGGCCCUGCUUGCAGGGUACUCGAGUGGCGAACGGGUGAGUAACACGUGGGUGAUCUGCCCUGCACUUCGGGAUAAGCUUGGGAAACUGGGUCUAAUACCGGAUAGGAACCAUCUUUAGUGUGGUGGUUGGAAAGUUUUUUCGGUGUAGGAUGAGCUCGCGGCCUAUCAGCUUGUUGGUGGGGUAAUGGCCUACCAAGGCGGCGACGGGUAGCCGGCCUGAGAGGGUGUACGGCCACAUUGGGACUGAGAUACGGCCCAGACUCCUACGGGAGGCAGCAGUGGGGAAUAUUGCACAAUGGGCGCAAGCCUGAUGCAGCGACGCCGCGUGGGGGAUGAAGGCCUUCGGGUUGUAAACUCCUUUCGCUAGGGACGAAGCUUUGUUGUGACGGUACCUAGAUAAGAAGCACCGGCUAACUACGUG